GGAAACACUGCCGCACACUGCAUGCUUUGCCCCUCCCCAGGUUUCCUAUUAGUGGAGCUGAAACACCCUUCCCUACAGUCUUCGCACCUCCCCAGUUUUUGUGGUGUUGGUUCGUUCCGCUACUUGUGAUGUUUUCUGAUGUAGUGUUCAGCGAUUGCGACAUAUCUUGGUACAUUUCUGACUCGAGGUGAAAGUAAUUAGGGUUGGGAUGAAUAUGACGUCCCACCAGCUUCUAAAAGCUGUCACUGGUUUGGUUAUGGAUUGGAGCUUGGAUAUUUCUCAGCUUUGAACAGUGCAAGUGCUGCGAGGCCCGAUUAAUGUUGCCUGCAUACUACAGCAAAUUGUUAGUGAUUGCUUGUGGCUUGCUUAUCAGCAGACAGCGUAUACAAAUGGUGGGCUUGCUCCAUCAGAACAUUAAUUGAGCAGAUUGAGGCAAGUUUAUCAGCUUUAUUUGGGAUGUAGGUUCAUGCGUCUUCACAGGCGGAGUGUGGUUCUGCAUUGUCACUUGGUCCAUUAGUUCAGGUACAGGCCCACUGUGCUAAGCUUUGCGGUUAGUUUGCAGCAUGAAGCUUGGAAAAUGGAAAGAAAAACUUCACUUGCACCCUGGCCCAGUGGACCAGGUCCUGGUUUGGGCCAACCCCCAGCAAGACCAAGCUUUCACAGCACAAGUGUGUGGUAGGUACAACUGCUGGGCACAGCAUAGAAGACUGGUGCAGUCUCUUCAGCAGAAGAAUCCUCCAAACAUCCAUCUUUUUUGGUCAUUUGCUGCAAGAGCUGGCUCUAUCGGGAGUUUGAGUCCAUAACGACUGCUUCGAUCACAAUGCAAGUGUGUCCCGGACCACCGUGCUCUGAACUUGCUACGUUGCAUCCGUAAUAAAGGGUCGUACUUUUCAACAACA
rnacentral:lncRNA from 1 species